rnacentral:rRNA from 1 species
GAGCUUGCUUCUCUGGAUGAGUUGCGAACGGGUGAGUAACGCGUAGGUAACCUGCCUGGUAGCGGGGGAUAACUAUUGGAAACGAUAGCUAAUACCGCAUAAUAGUAGAUGUUGCAUGACAUUUGCUUAAAAGGUGCAAUUGCAUCACUACCAGAUGGACCUGCGUUGUAUUAGCUAGUUGGUGGGGUAACGGCUCACCAAGGCGACGAUACAUAGCCGACCUGAGAGGGUGAUCGGCCACACUGGGACUGAGACACGGCCCAGACUCCUACGGGAGGCAGCAGUAGGGAAUCUUCGGCAAUGGACGGAAGUCUGACCGAGCAACGCCGCGUGAGUGAAGAAGGUUUUCGGAUCGUAAAGCUCUGUUGUAAGAGAAGAACGAGUGUGAGAGUGGAAAGUUCACACUGUGACGGUAUCUUACCAGAAAGGGACGGCUAACUACGUGCCAGCAGCCGCGGUAAUACGUAGGUCCCGAGCGUUGUCCGGAUUUAUUGGGCGUAAAGCGAGCGCAGGCGGUUAGAUAAGUCUGAAGUUAAAGGCUGUGGCUUAACCAUAGUACGCUUUGGAAACUGUUUAACUUGAGUGCAAGAGGGGAGAGUGGAAUUCCAUGUGUAGCGGUGAAAUGCGUAGAUAUAUGGAGGAACACCGGUGGCGAAAGCG